rnacentral:rRNA from 1 species
GAUCCUGCGCCGAAAAUGAACGGGGCUAAGCGUUAUACCGAAGCUGCGGAUAAAUUUAUUUAUGGUAGGGGAGCGUUCUAUGUAGGGUGAAGCGUUAGCGUAAGCGGACGUGGACAGCAUAGAAGUGAGAAUGUCGGCUUGAGUAGCGAAAACAUGGGUGAGAAUCCCAUGCCCCGAAACCCUAAGGGUUCCUCCGGCAGGCUCGUCCGCGGAGGGUUAGUCUGGACCUAAGGCGAGGCCGAAAGGCGUAGUCGAUGGAUAACAGGUCAAUAUUCCUGUACCAGUUGUGUUUUGGGAAGGGGGACGGAGAAGGCUAGCCAGGCCAGAUGUUGGUUACUGGUUCAAGCGUUCAAGGCUUUGAGAGAUGGAGAAAACAUCUUGAGCUAAGGCGUGAGUACGAGCUGCUACGGCAGCGAAGUUGGUGAUGUCAUACUUCCAAGAAAAGCCCUAUACCCGUUAAGACACAAAUGCCAGUACCCGAAACCGACACAGGUGGGGUGGUAGAGAAUACCGAGGGGCGCGAGAUAACUCUCUCUAAGGAACUCGGCAAAAUGGCCCCGUAACUUCGGGAGAAGGGGUGCCAGCGAGAGCUGGUCGCAGUGAAGAGGCGCAAGCGACUGUUUACCAAAAACACAGGUCUCCGCUAAGUCGCAAGACGAUGUAUGGGGGCUGACACCUGCCCAGUGCCGGAAGGUUAAGGAAGCCGGUUAGCUUUUAGUGAAGCUGGCGACUGAAGCCCCGGUGAACGGCGGCCGUAACUAUAACGGUCCUAAGGUAGCGAAAUUCCUUGUCGGGUAAGUUCCGACCCGCACGAAAGGUGUAACGAUUUGCGCGCUGUCUCGGAGAGAGGCUCGGCGAAAUAGAAUUGUCUGUGAAGAUGCGGACUACAUACACCCGGACAGAAAGACCCUAUGAAGCUUUACUGUAGUUUGAUAUUGUGCUCGGGCUCUGAAUGCGCAGAAUAGGUGGGAGACGUUGAAAUAGUGCUUGUGGGUACUAUUGAGUCAUCGGUGAGAUACCACUCUUUUAGAGCUAGGGUUCUAACGCUUACCCGUUAUCCGGGAAGCGGACAGUAUCUGAUGGGCAGUUUGACUGGGGCGGUCGCCUCCUAAAAGGUAACGGAGGCGCACAAAGGUUCCCUCAGGCUGGUUGGAAAUCAGUCGUUGAGUGCAAAAGCAGAAGGGAGCUUGACUGUGAGACCUACAAGUCGAACAGGGACGAAAGUCGGUUUUAGUGAUCCGACGGUUCUGCGUGGAAGGGCCGUCGCUCAACGGAUAAAAGUUACUCUAGGGAUAACAGGCUGAUCUCCCCCAAGAGUUCACAUCGACGGGGAGGUUUGGCACCUCGAUGUCGGCUCAUCGCAACCUGGGGCUGAAGUCGGUCCCAAGGGUUGGGCUGUUCGCCCAUUAAAGCGGUACGCGAGCUGGGUUCAGAACGUCGUGAGACAGUUCGGUCCAUAUCCGGUGUAUGCGCAGGAAUAUUGAGAGGAUUUCUCCCUAGUACGAGAGGACCGGGAGGAACGCACCUCUGGUGUGCCAGUUAUCGUGCCAACGGUAAACGCUGGGUAGCCAUGUGCGGAGUGGAUAACCGCUGAAAGCAUCUAAGUGGGAAGCCCACCUCAAGAUGAGUAUUGCCAUGGCUUAAGCCAGUAAGGUCACGGGAAGAACACCCGUUGAUAGGCUCUACGUGGAAGCUUGGUAACAAGUGCAGCGGAGGAGUACUAAUAGACCGAGGGCUUGACCAA